ensembl:lncRNA
GCAAAAACAACCGCUUAAACCACCAAUUAGCCUAAAUACCACAAUCCCUAAAGUCAGAGUGUACAUUUUACAAUGUUUUAAAAGUGUUUCUUUUUUUCUUCAUGGAUGUGUAUCAUAUACUUUGUAUCAGCACCAAAAUAUGGACUUAAGAUGGAAUAUAAAUGGGGCUGCUGUUGAAUUGCAUUAAACUGCAUAACAUUGUGAUAGACACUGAGUGAUGGGCAAGAUAUGGUUAGUUUGUUACCGAUCUAAAAAUAGUCCAGUGACAGUGUGAGCAAUAAUUAAACAAAGUCUGUGGAAGAUCUGUGAGGUUCCUUUUAUUUCUGCAAAGUCAUGAACAUGCUAGUUGUACUUCCCUUUUCACAUUUCCACACACAGAGUGAGAACAGCUUUUCAAAACAGGCUGAUCUGUAGCAGGAGCCAUUUCUGACUGUUACCUGCUGGACAAAUGUGCAUGUCAUUUAAUAAAGUACUCUGACGGCUGCCGACUGUGUCAACACACACUGAACAGUGAGGAGACAUGGAAGCUGUGCUGGGAUUGAUGGUGAUCCUACUGGGAGUGUCUCAUGGUGUGGAAACUUACUGUGAUGGCAGACAGAAUGGAACUCAGUGUUAUGGAGCUUUGGGAGGAACUGUGGACAUCCAGCUGAUGGACAGCAUCUCUGAAAUACCUAGAUACUACUUGUUAAAGGAUUCAUUAAAAAUACUACAUGUCAUAAAUAAUACGGUUAUUUCUAAUACCAUAGAACGCAGGUCUCUCUUUUUUCUCAGUAGUCGAAUAUUUAGGAUCAAUAACCUGAGCAGGACAGACAGUGGUGAUUAUACCCUUCAAACCUUUAAUUCAGAUGGAUAUUCAUCAGGCGAGCGGACUUUACAGUUGUUUAUUCAAGCUCCUGUGUCCUCUGUCCUGCUGGUCUCUGAGUGUCUGUCCCAGGGAGAGAUGAGGGUGUCCUGCUCCUCUGAGGGAGGGGACAGUCCUCUGUACAGCUGGACUCUGGAUGGACGCACACUGACAGAUGCUGAGCUCCUUUCUGGAAAUAAUGAGACUAACAACAUCACUCUGAAACAGCACAUCUCAGGACAUCUGGUCUGCUCAGUCAGGAACAACGUCAGUAAUGUCUCAGAAGAACAGAAGACCUGUAGUUUCAUUAACUGCACCUCAAUCAAUGAGACACAGAUAGUAGGGUGGGUGCAUGCAAACAGAAACAACCUGUGUAUUGAACCAACAACUGAACCUACACCAGUCACACCAACUGCAGUGGGUACUUCCUGGUUCAUAUUUGGCUUGAAAGCCGCUGUGGUAAUUCUGUCAUUAAGUGGGAUUUGGAUCUGGUUCACUUGGAAGAAAAAAACAAUAUUGGAAGUCUCUGCUGUUCCACAAAGGAUGGAAUCUCCAGAUAACUCUGUUUUAAUGAUUGAAAUGAGUCCUUACUCCAACACCUAGUGUCACCUUUCACCUGCUGUAUCGGAUAUCCGUGUAGGUGUGGAAAUAAAAACAUUUUUUCACAAGAUAACAACUGUGUAUAAAUGUCCAUAAAAAUGUGGUUCUUUCUGUAAUUUCUGUAAUUUUAUAUUUAGGUCCUCUUAAAUAUAAUCAAAGUGGAAAGAACUCUCUCUCCUUCAUAGCUUUUAUUUUGCAUUUACAUUUCAUCUGUAGUGCUGAAGGACACAUUUGUGUACGGAUGUUUUCACCAUUUGUUGUUUGUUGCUGCAUUUUAAAAUAAUCAACCAUAUAACUUAAAAUGUGAUGUCAGUGUGUGAAUAAAGUGCCAAUAAAAGAGUUUAU